rnacentral:rRNA from 1 species
GACAGAGGGUGCAAACGUUGUUCGGAAUUACUGGGCGUAAAGCGCACGUAGGCGGGUCGUUAAGUCAGGGGUGAAAUCCCGGAGCUCAACUCCGGAACUGCCUUUGAUACUGGCAAUCUAGAGUCCGGAAGAAGGUGAGUGGAACUCCUAGUGUAGAGGUGGAAUUCGUAGAUAUUAGGAAGAACACCAGUGGCGAAGGCGGCUCACUGGUCCGGUACUGACGCUGAGGU